rnacentral:lncRNA from 1 species
AGAUUAAGCUUUGGUCUGUUGACCAGGCUGGGGUGCAGUGGUUUGAUCAUAGCUCAUGGGCAGCCUUGGACUUCUGGGCUCAAGAGAUCUUUUCACCUCAGUCUUCUAAGUAUCCAGGACUACCAGUGUGCCCCACCAUACCUGGCUAAUUUUUAAAUUUUUUUGUAGAGACGGAGUCUUGAUAUGUUUUUCAGGCCAGUUUCAAACUCCUGGCCACAAGUGAUCCUGCUGCCUCAGUCUCUCAAACUCCUGGAAUUACAGGCAUGAGCCACCACAUCUGGCCUGUAAAGAUUUUUUGUCUCUAAAUAUGAUCACAUUCUGAGGUGCUGGGUAUUAGGACUUCAACAAUGAAUUUUUUUGAGGGAUACAAUUUAGCCUGUAACAGGAUGUAGAGGCCUCACUGGGUCUAUCAAAACCUAGGCACAUUGAAUAAGAGCCAGCAGACUGUGGCGUAGCUAAAGCUGGUGGUGGGUGAACUCUGAGCACAGUUUAGUUUGUUCAGCACAUCUCAGGCUGUGAGGCUUGCCUGUCCUUCCCAGAUCCAGUCAUUCUGCCUUUUGGGAAUGAGAACAUCCUCUUAGCACUUUUCCUUGCUUGUUCAAUAACAUUUUCUGUUAUAAAAGUGGGGUGGGACAAAAUGUGGUGGCUACUCCUAUAAUCCCAACACUUUGAGAGGCUGAGGCAGGAGGAUCACUUGAGCCCAGGGGUUCAAGACCAACCUGGGCAACAUGACAAGACUUUGUCUGUAAAAAAAAUAAAAUAGACGGAUGUGGUGGCACAUGCCUGUAGUCCCAGCCAUUCAGGUGGAGGCUGAGUUGGGACGAUUACUUGAGCCCAGGAAGUCAAGGCUGCAGUGAGCUAUGGAGUGCCACUGCACUCCAGCCUGGGCGACGGAGUGAGACCUAGUCUCACACACACACAAAAGCACACCACAACGAUUCGGAAAAGAUAAAUAGAGGAUCUCACUCUGUUGCCCAGGCUAGUCUUGCACUCCUGGACUUAAGCGAUCCUCCCACCUUGGCCUCCCAAAGUAUUGGAAUUACAGGCCUAAGCCACACCUGCCCUGUUUUGGGGUUUUAGUAUUUACUUUUUAUUCUAUCCUCUUUCAGAAAUAGUUAGACCCUGUCUCUUCUGAAAAGCAAAAAAGUUUAAAAAUUAUCUGGAUGUGGGGCUGGGCACUGUGGCUCACGCCUGUAAUCCCAGCACUUUGGGAGGCUGAGGCGGGCAGAUCACGAGGUCAGGAGAUUGAGACCAGCCUGGCUAACACGGUGAAACCCUGUCUCUAC